rnacentral:rRNA from 1 species
UUCCGGUUGAUCCUGCCGGACCCCACUGCUAUCGGGGUGGGACUAAAACAUGCGAGUCGAGCGUCUUCAAGCUAUGGUGAAGACGCGGCGAACGGCUCAGUAACACGUGGCCAACCUACCCUUUGGACGGGGACAACCCCGGGAAACUGGGGCUAAUCCCCGAUAGAUGAGAAGGCCUGGAAUGGUUUCUCAUCCAAAAGGCGUUUAGACCAUGCUUCUAGGCGUCGCCAAAGGACGGGGCCGCGGCCGAUCAGGUUGUUGGUGAGGUAACGGCUUACCAAGCCUAUAACCGGUACGGGCCGUGAGAGCGGGAGCCCGGAGAUGGGCACUGAGACAAGGGCCCAGGCCCUACGGGGCGCAGCAGUUGCGAAAACUCCGCAAUACGCGAAAGCGUGACGGGGCUACCCCGAGUGCCGUCCGCUGAGGAUGGCUUUUCCACGGUGUAAGGAGCCGUGGGAAUAAGGAGAGGGCAAGACUGGUGUCAGCCGCCGCGGUAAUACCAGCUCUCCGAGUGGUGGGGAUGAUUAUUGGGCUUAAAGCGUUCGUAGCCGGCCCGGCAAGUCUCCCGUUAAAUCCAGCGAUCUAAUCGUUGGACUGCGGGAGAUACUGUUGGGCUAGGGGGCGGGAGAAGCCGACGGUACUCUCGGGGUAGGGGUGAAAUCCUAUAAUCCCGGGAGGACCACCAGUGGCGAAGGCGGUCGGCUAGAACGCGCUCGACGGUGAGGGACGAAAGCUGGGGGAGCGAACCGGAUUAGAUACCCGGGUAGUCCCAGCAGUAAACGAUGCGGGCUAGGUGUUGGGGCGGCCACGAGCCGCUUCAGUGCCGCACGGAAGCAAUUAAGCCCGCCGCCUGGGGAGUACGGCCGCAAGGCUGAAACUUAAAGGAAUUGGCGGGGG